AAUUUUUAGAUUACGACGUUUAUCUUAUUCGCGUAACAGAACUUCUUUCGCGUGUCUAUGCACCUUGUAAAAUAUAACUGUACUUUCAUAUCGUGAAUUAUGAAUUUAGGAUACGGAAAAUCAAGACAGAUGCGUAUCUAUGGAAUUUCAUUACAUCGAAUAAGUAGCCCAACCCAUAAAUAAAUCAGGCAAACGGGGAGAAUGACUAACGCAAGAUUACGCGACCCAUCGACCACUUUCGGCCCACGCUAUUUUAUCACAUUUUUAAUCCGAUCUUCGUACAUAUAAGAUGAUCACGAUAUUUGCAAGACGAUAUGAAUUAAUAUUUUAAUCGCUCGUUGCAAUCAUUAUGAAAUGUAUGCACAAAUCACACAAUGCCAGAUGAAGAAUUAAAUUGAUAUUCCACAUUAGAGAGCUAGAGCUUACUUAAUUUUCUCUAAACAUGUUACAUUUUUAAACACAAAUUUUGAAAGUUAUAGUUUACUGCAUAUGUCAUUUUCUUACUAUUGCACAUCUGCAGUAGUAUGUUUUAUUUCUCUGUUCUAACAUUAAACGUCAUGAAUAUUAAUCAAAGGUGACUAAUUCUAAUGUACGUACACUCCCUGUAUAGAAUUAUAAUGUACUGGAAAAAAUAGUCUUAUCAAUGUCUUACUAUCUUCAUUUGGACGACAGUUACAAAUAUCUUUUUCUUGCAAAAUUGUUAUAAAAGUUUAAAUAAAAAAUUAUGAAUAUACAUUUUUUACAAGUGUAUGAAAAAAAUUGUAUACGCAAUUUUUUGCAACAUUCAGUAGGGAAUGUUUUGUAUCAAAGUAAUAAAGAAAUAUUUUUCUAAAACAUAUCCAUAAAAACAAUGCAAAGAUAUUUAAAUAAGUUGUGAUACUCAUUUGCACGCGACAUAUAUAAUUCAGUUGGAUAUAUUUUACAUUCAUAACAUAAAAUGAUUUGUGAGGUAUAUACUGUACAUUUAGUACAAAUUCAUAAAAGGACUUAAGUAAAAUAACAUUCAUUGCAAUAUAUCUAUCUGUAAAUCGA